rnacentral:rRNA from 1 species
GAUGAACGCUAGCGGCAGGCCUAACACAUGCAAGUCGAGGGGUAACUAGAGUGAUAGCAAUAUUACUUUGGCUAGACCGGCGCACGGGUGCGUAACACGUAUGCAACCUACCUUAUACUGGGGAAUAACUUCGAGAAAUCGGCGCUAAUACCCCAUAACAUUGCGAAGAGGCAGCUCUUUGCAAUUAAAGCUCCGGCGGUAUAAGAUGGGCAUGCGUCCAAUUAGCUAGUUGGUGAGGAACGGCUCACCAAGGCUACGAUUGGUAGGGGUUCUGAGAGGAUGAUCCCCUACACUGGUACUGAGACACGGACCAGACUCCUACGGGAGGCAGCAGUGAGGAAUAUUGCGCAAUGGACGAAAGUCUGACGCAGCCAUGCCGCGUGCAGGAUGACGGCCCUAUGGGUUGUAAACUGCUUUUGUACGGGAAUAAACCCUUCUACGUGUAGGAGGCUGAAGGUACCGUAAGAAUAAGCACCGGCUAACUACGUGCCAGCAGCCGCCGUAAGAC